rnacentral:piRNA from 1 species
UGAAUUAGUACAGGCGAGUGAUC